UUCAUUUUAUUCCAAAAGUGCUUUCCCGGGAGUAGUUGGUUGCAUCGACGGGACUCAUGUUCGCAUAAUUUCACCAAGAAAAGAAGUGCAACAUCUUUAUCUUAACAGAAAGGGCUACUACAGUUUAAACGUGAUGAUUCUUUGUGAUUAUAAAAUGUCUAUUCGGUAUGUGGAUGCUAGGCAUGCAGGCGCAAAUCAUGACUCUUUUGUUUUCAAUGUUAGCGAUUUGAAAGUGCAUUUACAGAACAACAUACAGAAUAACACUUGGAUCUUGGGCGACGCUGGCUAUCCUCUGCACAAAUUUUUAAUGACGCCUUAUCGCUUGGCGGAAGCUUCUUCACCC